rnacentral:rRNA from 1 species
UGAGGAAUUUUGCGCAAUGGGAGCAAUCCUGACGCAGCAACGCCGCGUGGGUGAUGAAGGCCUUCGGGUCGUAAAGCCCUGUCAGGUGGGAAGAAUGUCCCGGGACUGAACAGGUUCCGGGAGUGACGGUACCACCAGAGGAAGCACCGGCUAACUCCGUGCCAGCAGCCGCGGUAAUACGGAGGGUGCGAGCGUUAUUCGGAAUUACUGGGCGUAAAGCGCGCGUAGGCGGUCCCGCAAGUCUGAGGUGAAAGCCCCGGGCUUAACCCGGGAAGUGCAUUGGAAACUGUGGGACUUGAGUACGGGAGAGGAUGGGGGAAUUCCCGGUGUAGAGGUGAAAUUCGUAGAGAUCGGGAGGAAUAUCAGUGGCGAAGGCGCCCAUCUGGACGGUAACUGACGCUGAGACGCGAAAGCGUGGGGAGCAAACA